rnacentral:lncRNA from 1 species
UUCUGAGGUAAUCAUAAUACCGGAACUGCCAGAACCCUGGUUUCUAGACCCGAAAGCAUCUAAUCCCAAAGACAUCGUUGGAUUAUCAACUGAAAACUCGUUGAAACUGAAACAGAGGACUGAAAACUGGUGCUGCCGGAAAACAGGAACACUGUAGAUGCCGGAAAAAUUCAAAGUUGUCGGAAUUGAAAAGUAAAAAUAUGGGUAGGCUCGGAAUUCAAGUAGGAGCAAACUGUCCUGAAGAAAUAUUGGCCGGAAAGUACUGUAGCUGCCGGAAAAAUCACUGUAGGUCGCCGGAAAANNNN